rnacentral:antisense_RNA from 1 species
AUCUCCUCCUCCCGGAGCCCAAGUAUCAUAUACGCCCCCAAAAUAAAGAGCCUUGAAUACUAGAAGAAAAGCACCUAGACCUAACAAGAUUAAAUCCGGCUAGUUUCUGAAGCGUCUGGUGUGUUUUCA